rnacentral:rRNA from 1 species
AAUAGAUACCCUGGUAGUCCACGCCCUAAACGAUGUCAACUAGCUGUUGGGUUCUUCGGAGCUUAGUAGCGCAGCUAACGCGUGAAGUUGACCGCCUGGGGAGUACGGUCGCAAGAUUAAAACUCAAAGGAAUUGACGGGGACCCGCACAAGCGGUGGAUGAUGUGGAUUAAUUCGAUGCAACGCGAAAAACCUUACCUACCCUUGACAUGUCCGGAAGCUCGAAGAGAUUUGAGUGUGCUCGCAAGAGAACUGGAACACAGGUGCUGCAUGGCUGUCGUCAGCUCGUGUCGUGAGAUGUUGGGCUAAGUCCCGCAACGAGCGCAACCCUUGUCAUUAGUUGCUACGAAAGGGCACUCUAAUGAGACUGCCGGUGACAAACCGGAGGAAGGUGGGGAUGACGUCAAGUCCUCAUGGCCCUUAUGGGUAGGGCUUCACACGUCAUACAAUGGUCGGGACAGAGGGUUGCCAACCCGGCGAGGGGGGAGCCAAUCUCAGAAACCCGAUCGUAGUCCGGAUCGCAGUCUGCUAAC